AAGGGUGCGCGACCCGCUGUGCAGGCGCGGAGGAGCGCGGCCCGGGGGCAGCGGCGGCGGGAGGCGCAGCGCAGCUCCGGGCUCGGGCAGGGGCUCAGGAUACGGCCGGGGAGGCAGCGCGGAGCCGUCCGCCCGCCCGCCCACACGGCGCUGCACGUGCCCCGAGCCGGCGUGCGGGAGCCCCGGGGCCGCCUGCUUCUUCCCUCCCGACCCCAGCCCCAGAACAGCCGCGGACCCCCCUUCUCAGCGCCUCCUGGAUGCUUAGUGUUACCUUUUACACGUGGCUAUUCACUAAUUACCAGACACGCUGCAUCAGCCUCCAGGUGUGAGACAGGGCUGGGCUUGCACACGACCUGAUGGUGCUCACAAAGAGGGACUCCAACCAGGACUGGACCCUGCCAGGGUUUCCCUCCAGGGCACUGUGACAGCGGCUGAGGAAAGGGACUCCAACAACAGCUCCUAACAAACACCAUUUAUUGUCUGUGCACCAGAGCUGCGGCUGAAGAGGAUCUUUCAUGGAUAUCACAUGCUUACUGCGCCUUGAGAUGAACGGACUGGAAGACGGACGGAUCUUGGUUGAGCGACUGUGUCCUGAGAUUAGUCCUCGAGAGCUCGAUGUCUUCAAAUCCCUGAGCGGUGGCCAUGGAGAGGACAGAGACGUGUCCUGUUUUCUUCAGCCACAGAAACAGACUCAGAGGAAAUCAAGAAUUGCAGCAGGGGACAUUUAGGUUCGAUAGAAGACCUUUCGCACUAUAUGAGGGUGAUUUUUUUAGGUUUUUGUGAGCAUGGAAACGGGCUACCCAGAGAGUUGUGCCAUCUCCAUGCUUGCCAAGGCGUGAGAACAGGGUCGAUGCUUGGCUGGCCGGGUUUGUAGGGGUGAUCCUGCCUCGAGCAGGGGGUGACUGGACGGCCCCGACGUCUCUUCCAGUCCCGGGUUUGAUGAUUCGGUGCCCUCUCGGUGUGCUACUAAAGGGACAGGAGCAGCGGCAUAAGAAGAUCAGAUCAAACCCGUUUUGUCACAGAAGAGUGAAAGACAUGCUCCAUUUGUUAGAGAGGCUCCAUGGCCUCGUUUGGAAAAGGGGGGUGAAGUAGCAGAAUAAAAAGUCAUUUGGGGA